rnacentral:rRNA from 1 species
AGCGAACGCUAGCGGCGGGCCUAACACAUGCAAGUCGAGCGCAUACCUUCGGGUAUGAGCGGCGGACGGGUGAGUAACGCGUAGGUCAUCUACCCUUUGGUGGGGGAUAACCCAGGGAAACUUGGGCUAAUACCGCACGAGGUCCACGGAUCAAAGCCUUCGGGCGCCAGAGGAUGAGCCUGCGUCGCAUUACCUAGUUGGCGGGGUAACGGCCCACCAAGGGGACGAUGCGUAGCUGGUCUGAGAGGAUGAUCAGCCACACUGGGACUGAGACACGGCCCAGACUCCUACGGGAGGCAGCAGUGGGGAAUAUUGCGCAAUGGGGGAAACCCUGACGCAGCCACGCCGCGUGGGUGAUAAAGGCCUCGGUUGUAAGACCUCGUCGGGAGGGACGGAAUUACUUGACGGUACCUCCAAAGAAAGACACCGGCGUAACUCCGUGCCAGCAGCCG